CCCAAGUCAAAGAGAACGGUGGUGAGGAUGAAGAUCCAAUCAGAUGCUGAUCUGACAGACCAGGCAGUCGGUGACCAGCUCCUACAGCAGCUGCAUGUAGAGCUCCUGAAGCAGGGUGUGUCUGACGUUCAACUGUGCUGGAGGACUCAACCAGAUGGACAGAUUUUCCACCAUGAGGAAGAAUAGAAGGAGGAUGGACCCACUCAGACAGGUGUCUGUGGAACUGAAGGGUGCUAGCCUGGUGAGAGACUCCAAUGAGACAAAACAGUUUUAAGAUUGGACUGUAUUGAUGACAUAAUC